rnacentral:rRNA from 1 species
UACGUAGGGGGCAAGCGUUGUCCGGAAUCAUUGGGCGUAAAGCGCGCGUAGGCGGCUUUGUAUGUCGAUUGUGAAAGCCCCGGGCUCAACCUGGGAACUGCAGUCGAAACUGCAAAGCUUGAAUGUUGGAGAGGUUGGGGGAAUACCUAGUGGAGAAGUGAAAUUCGUAGAGAUUAGGUGGAACACCAGAGGCGAAGGCGCCUGACUGGCCAAACAUUGACGCUGAGGCGCGAAAGCGUGGGUAGCAAACAGG